CUUACUCCCUCAGACAACUUUAGCCUUCCCUCAACCCCAUAUCUCCUUUUUCAACCAAUGCAAUUGAGCUUUAAUUAGAAAAACAAGAGAUCGAUCAACAAACGCAAUUUGAAGCGGUUGAGGUCAUCAAUAGCAGAGUUCACCCGUCCUCGGCCUCCACCAGAGCUCAGGAUCCAUGGACCAAAUCUAUCCUAUGUCACUCUCUCUAGUUCUUUAUCUUUCAAUUUCCAACUAGUUCCUCUCGAAAUGGAUUAAUGGGUAUUGUAAACUCUGUGAUAUUGAUGAGGCUUGGUUGGUGAUGAACCAGAUAAGUGUAGGAUGGUAUAGAAGGAACCCAAAGCUUUGAGCUUUAUUCUUCACGUCUGGACUAAUCUCGUCUCUUAAAAAGGGUGAAAUUCUGAAUCUUUCAGCUUAGAAAGAGGUGUAAGGCUGGUAAUUUGGAGGUUAAGCAAGUUUCAGGGACACAGCUGUUGUACAGGAUUUGCGGAUCGGGACGGUCUAGUGGGUCUGCUGGGUUUGAAGAGAAAAUGGACUUUGCUUUUGACAAGUUAGAGAGUGGGAUCAAGAAUGGUAGUGUUUUGUUCUAUACUGGGAGCUAUGAGUCGGUUUAUAUAUUGGGCCAAUGUGAGGGUGAUUUGAGCAACAAUGAU